UAUGUGAUCGUCUCUCGCAUAUCAAUAAGCGGAGGAAAAGAAACUAACAAGGAUUCCCCUAGUAACGGCGAGUGAAGCGGGAAGAGCUCAAAUUUGAAAUCUUAAAGGGUUUCCCUUUACGAAUUGUAGUUUAAAGAAGUGUUUUCUGUUGAGGUUUUGGUAAAAGUUCUUUGGAAUAGGACAUCAUAGAGGGUGAGAAUCCCGUAUUUGACCUUUACUUUCAACUUUGUGAUACACUUUCAAAGAGUCGGAUUGUUUGGGAAUGCAGUCCAAAAUGGGUGGUAAAUUUCAUCUAAAGCUAAAUAUUGGCGAGAGACCGAUAGCGAACAAGUACCGUGAGGGAAAGAUGAAAAGAACUUUGAAAAGAGAGUUAAACAGUACGUGAAAUUGUCAAAAGGGAAGCGUUUGACACCAGUGUUGUUUUUCUGAAAAUCAAUUAAAGAACUGUUUAUGCUAAGCUGUUUAGACUUCAUCAGCUAAUCUGUUUAGUUUUGAGCUUUUCUUUAAUGCACUUUUCAGUUAACAAGUCAACAUCAAUUUCUUUUGCUGUAAAAAAGCUUGAGGAAGGUGGCUUGAGAUUCGUCUUAAGUGUUUAUUAGCCUCUUGCCUAUGCAGUCGGAGAGAUUGAGGUCUGCAGCGUAGAUCCUUCGGGGCUAAAUGCAUUUGUGCUAAGUUAUAGCAUUUUAUAGACAACUUGUUGACUAUGAUUUGUCUUGUAGCUUACUCGCUUAUGUUAUUUUACCUACGCUUAGGAUGUUGAUAUCGCGCUCUCCUG
rnacentral:rRNA from 1 species